CACCCGCCCCCCUCCAAAUCCUAUUAUGUGCCCGGUGACUGUUUGUUCGGUUUUAGGUUGGGGUGACCGCGGAGUAUAAGAUAUCCUCCAUGAAAAAAAGCUAACUGCCCUUAUUAGAGAAAGACACUUCCAAAAAAUAAUAAAUUAAUUUUAAAUGAUCCGACAUUCGAUCAACGAACCAAGUUACCCUGGGGAUAACAGCGCAAUCCGUCCCGAGAGCCCCUAUCGACAGGCGGGUUUACGACCUCGAUGUUGGAUCAGGGUAUCCUAGUGGUGCAGCAGCUACUAAAGGUUCGUUUGUUCAACGAUUAAAACCCU
rnacentral:rRNA from 1 species